rfam:Salmo salar isolate Sally breed double haploid chromosome ssa26, whole genome shotgun sequence.
CGCAUUCACUACUGUAAGUCACUCUGGAUAAGAGCGUCUACUAAAUGACUAAAA